rnacentral:rRNA from 1 species
GACGAACGCUGGCGGCGUGCUUAACACAUGCAAGUCGGACGGAAAGGCCCUUCGGGGUACUCGAGUGGCGAACGGGUGAGUAACACGUGGGUGAUCUGCCCUGCACUUUGGGAUAAGCCUGGGAAACUGGGUCUAAUACCGAAUAGGACCACGCGCUUCAUGGUGUGUGGUGGAAAGCUUUUGCGGUGUGGGAUGGGCCCGCGGCCUAUCAGCUUGUUGGUGGGGUAAUGGCCUACCAAGGCGACGACGGGUAGCCGGCCUGAGAGGGUGACCGGCCACACUGGGACUGAGAUACGGCCCAGACUCCUACGGGAGGCAGCAGUGGGGAAUAUUGCACAAUGGGCGCAAGCCUGAUGCAGCGACGCCGCGUGAGGGAUGACGGCCUUCGGGUUGUAAACCUCUUUCAAUAGGGACGAAGCGUGAGUGACGGUACCUAUAGAAGAAGCACCGGCCAACUACGUGCCAGCAGCCGCGGUAAUACGUAGGGUGCGAGCGUUGUCCGGAAUUACUGGGCGUAAAGAGCUCGUAGGUGGUUUGUCGCGUUGUUCGUGAAAACUCACAGCUUAACUGUGGGCGUGCGGGCGAUACGGGCAGACUAGAGUACUGCAGGGGAGACUGGAAUUCCUGGUGUAGCGGUGGAAUGCGCAGAUAUCAGGAGGAACACCGGUGGCGAAGGCGGGUCUCUGGGCAGUAACUGACGCUGAGGAGCGAAAGCGUGGGGAGCGAACAGGAUUAGAUACCCUGGUAGUCCACGCCGUAAACGGUGGGUACUAGGUGUGGGUUCCUUCCUUGGGAUCCGUGCCGUAGCUAACGCAUUAAGUACCCCGCCUGGGGAGUACGGCCGCAAGGCUAAAACUCAAAGGAAUUGACGGGGGCCCGCACAAGCGGCGGAGCAUGUGGAUUAAUUCGAUGCAACGCGAAGAACCUUACCUGGGUUUGACAUGCACAGGACGCCGGCAGAGAUGUCGGUUCCCUUGUGGCCUGUGUGCAGGUGGUGCAUGGCUGUCGUCAGCUCGUGUCGUGAGAUGUUGGGUUAAGUCCCGCAACGAGCGCAACCCUUGUCCUAUGUUGCCAGCGGGUUAUGCCGGGGGCUCGUAGGAGACUGCCGGGGUCAACUCGGAGGAAGGUGGGGAUGACGUCAAGUCAUCAUGCCCCUUAUGUCCAGGGCUUCACACAUGCUACAAUGGCCGGUACAAAGGGCUGCGAUGCCGUGAGGUGGAGCGAAUCCUUUCAAAGCCGGUCUCAGUUCGGAUCGGGGUCUGCAACUCGACCCCGUGAAGUCGGAGUCGCUAGUAAUCGCAGAUCAGCAACGCUGCGGUGAAUACGUUCCCGGGCCU